CAGUGUGUUAAAUUUAAAUUCUGUUAGUGCUGCACUAAAAGAAUUGUUAGUAAUAAGUCCAUGCAGCGAAGGAACUGAAGAAUUGUGGGACAGUAUUUGGGCGGAAAAUGGGUGUGGUAUGGAAACACAGAAAUGGCAUGAGUUCAACAUGAAACAUGGAUUAGAAUUUUAGCGGGGGUUCAAGUCAAGUCUGGAAGUGUUACAGGAUGGAAGAGUGAGCCUGUAGUUGAAAAAACACUGAGAGUGCAUUACCAUUAAGGUGUGAGGUAAAGUAAUAGAGUAAUGCAAAUUGUCUAAUGAGAAGUACCACCUUGUGUUAAUGAAUCCGUUACAACAGCAAUCCUUUAUAGUUCUGACAGAAGAAUAUGCUCGCAAUCAACUCACGAAUCAUAUGAACAAUAAAUUUUGAUCUGAAAAGGUUUCUUGUUUGGGGCAAGGUCAUGAAUUAAUUUUUACGUUUGGAUACACUACAUGGAAGUUCUACACUUAAUUCAUAUUCCCCAGACGGUAUUUGAUAUUUAAAAAAUUGAAGUGCAUAUCUGGGCUCCCUUCUUUUCUGAAGCCCCGUUUCCCCUUGACUCAUAAUAAGCCCGUAGGGGGUCAUGCCCCUACUGUACGGUAUAUAUAAAAACAACAUAUACCGAGGUUUGGAGGGCUCUGGCCGGAAAGGGGACGUGGAGGUCCGCUUAGUCCGAUGAUGUGUUCACGGAGGGCGACGUGGCUACCCACAAAUCCGAACUAAAGGUUAAUCGCUCCUGUAAAAAUGUUCCAAAUCUUCAGCUCUUCUUCCGGCUUCUCUUAGCCAAUCACCGGGUAAUCUCCCCGGUGGGUCAACAAGGCAGUGUCUCCCCCUGCCUGGGUUGACGGCAACUUUUGAAAGGGCUAUU